UACGUAGGGGGCAAGCGUUGUCCGGAUUUAUUGGGCGUAAAGAGCGUGUAGGCGGCCAGGUAGGUCUGCUGUGAAAACUCGAGGCUCAACCUCGAGACGCCGAUGGAAACCAUCAGACUAGAGUCCGGAAGAGGAGAGUGGAAUUCCUGGUGUAGCGGUGAAAUGCGCAGAUAUCAGGAAGAACACCCGUGGCUAAGGCGGCUCUCUAGUACGGUACUGACGCUGAGACGCGAAAAGCGUGGGGGAGCGAACAGG
rnacentral:rRNA from 1 species